rnacentral:rRNA from 1 species
GAUCAUGGCUCAGAACGAACGCUGGCGGCGUGUCUAAGCAUGCAAGUCGUGCGGCAAGGCGGGGCAACCGCCCUAGAGCGGCGGACUGGUGAGUAACGCGUGGGUGAUCUGCCCUUGGGAUGGGGGAUAGCCACUAGAAAUAGUGGGUAAUACCGAAUACGUUCGUCACUUCGAUGUGACGAGGAAAAGCGCUUCGGCGCUGCCCGAGGAUGAGCCCGCGUCCCAUUAGCUAGUUGGUGAGGUAAAGGCCCACCAAGGCGAUGAUGGGUAGCCGGCCUGAGAGGGUGUACGGCCACACUGGGACUGAGAUACGGCCCAGACUCCUACGGGGAGGCAGCAGCUAAGAAUAUUCCGCAAUGGACGAAAGUCUGACGGAGCGACGCCGCCGUGGAUGACGAAGGCCGAAAGGUUGUAAAGUCCUUUUGUUGGGGAAGAAUAACCAUGGGAGGGAAUGCCCGUGGGAUGACAUGAACCGACGAAUAAGCCCCGGCUAACUACGUGCCAGCCGCAGC